GUGGAUUAGAUACCCGGGUAGUCCACGCCGUAAACGAUGAGUGCUAGGUGUCGGGGAGGAAUCCUCGGUGCCGCAGCUAACGCAAUAAGCACUCCACCUGGGGAGUACGACCGCAAGGUUGAAACUCAAAGGAAUUGACGGGGGCCCGCACAAGCGGUGGAGCAUGUGGUUUAAUUCGAAGCAACGCGAAGAACCUUACCAAGGCUUGACAUCCCGAUGACCGCUUCAGAGAUGAAGCUUCUCUUCGGAGCAUCGGUGACAGGUGGUGCAUGGCCGUCGACAACU
rnacentral:rRNA from 1 species